GACGGUGGAGAUGAACCAAAACUUCGGAAAUGCCGUUGCUUAGGAAUGAAACAUUGAAGUUCGAACAUCUAUUUUAUCAAAGUGAAGUACAAAUAAUAUUUUCAUAUUUUAAGUGAAUUCUUACCGUUUUUAUUUUAUUUUAAUUAAUUGUAACCAUUUUCUUAUUUGUUUUUUCUAAAUAAUUCGACAUCUUUUAUUAGAGAAGUACUAAACAUAACUACGUAUUUUGAAGUUUUAUAUUAGAUCUUUUAUAUUUUUUUUCAAUCUUUUUAACUAUUUCAUUAAUUAUUUUUACUGUAAUAUUUCAACAGCAUUUAUUUUACAUAUCCCCUAUAUAUUUUUCCUUGAGCGUUAUAACAUGUUUCCGUAGCCACGUGUCAUCACGAAAAUGAUUAUUAGAAUUGUUAAAAAAAUAAGUUGGUCCAUAUAAACAUAUACUAUGUUUUUUAUUAAACUAACUAUCAAAUUAAUUAAUAGUGU
rnacentral:lncRNA from 1 species